rnacentral:rRNA from 1 species
UACGUAGGGUGCGAGCGUUAAUCGGAAUUACUGGGCGUAAAGCGUGCGCAGGCGGUUAUGCAAGACAGAUGUGAAAUCCCCGGGCUUAACCUGGGAACUGCAUUUGUGACUGCAUCGCUGGAGUGCGGCAGAGGGGGAUGGAAUUCCGCGUGUAGCAGUGAAAUGCGUAGAUAUGCGGAGGAACACCGAUGGCGAAGGCAAUCCCCUGGGCCUGCACUGACGCUCAUGCACGAAAGCGUGGGGAGCAAACAGG